GAUGAAGAACGUAGCGAAAUGCGAUACGUAAUGUGAAUUGCAGAAUUCAGUGAAUCAUCGAAUCUUUGAACGCAUAUUGCGCUCUCUGGUAUUCCGGAGAGCAUGCUUGUUUGAGUAUCAGUAAACACCUCAACUUCCAUAUCUUUUUUGAAAUGGGAGUUGGACUUGAGUGAUCCCAACGCUUUUCCUCACCGAAAAGUGGCGGGUUACUUGAAAUGCAGGUGCAGCUGGACUUUUCUCUGAGCUAUAAGCAUAUCUAUUUAGUCUGCCUAAAAAACAGAUUAUUACCUUUGCUGCAGCUAACAUAAAGGAGAUUAGUUCUUGUGCUGACUGAUGCAGGAUUCACAAAGACAGGCUUCGGCCGACUUUGUAAACUCGAUCUCAAAUCAAGUAAGACUACCCGCUUAACUUAAGCAUAUCAAUAAGCGGAGGA
rnacentral:misc_RNA from 1 species